rnacentral:rRNA from 1 species
AUUGAACGCUGGCGGCAUGCUUUACACAUGCAAGUCGGACGGCAGCACAGAGAAGCUUGCUUCUUGGGUGGCGAGUGGCGAACGGGUGAGUAAUAUAUCGGAACGUACCGAGUAAUGGGGGAUAACUAAUCGAAAGAUUAGCUAAUACCGCAUAUUCUCUGAGGAGGAAAGCAGGGGACCUUCGGGCCUUGCGUUAUUCGAGCGGCCGAUAUCUGAUUAGCUAGUUGGUGGGGUAAAGGCCUACCAAGGCGACGAUCAGUAGCGGGUCUGAGAGGAUGAUCCGCCACACUGGGACUGAGACACGGCCCAGACUCCUACGGGAGGCAGCAGUGGGGAAUUUUGGACAAUGGGCGCAAGCCUGAUCCAGCCAUGCCGCGUGUCUGAAGAAGGCCUUCGGGUUGUAAAGGACUUCUGUCAGGGAAGAAAAGGCUGUUGCUAAUACCGACAGCUGAUGACGGUACCUGAAGAAUAAGCACCGGCUAACUACGUG